AGUGAACGCUGGCGGUAGGCCUAACACAUGCAAGUCGAACGGCAGCACAGUAAGAGCUUGCUCUUACGGGUGGCGAGUGGCGGACGGGUGAGGAAUACAUCGGAAUCUACUUUUUCGUGGGGGAUAACGUAGGGAAACUUACGCUAAUACCGCAUACGACCUACGGGUGAAAGCAGGGGAUCUUCGGACCUUGCGCGGAUGAAUGAGCCGAUGUCGGGUUAGCUAGUUGGCGGGGUAAAGGCCCACCAAGGCGAGGAUCCGUAGCUGGUCUGAGAGGAUGGUCAGCCACACUGGAACUGAGACACGGUCCAGACUCCUACGGGAGGCAGCAGUGGGGAAUAUUGGACAAUGGGCGCAAGCCUUAUCCAGCCAUACCGCGUGGGUGAAGAAGGCCUUCGGGUUGUAAAGCCCUUUUGUUGGGAAAGAAAAGCAGCAGGUUAAUACCCCGCUGUUCUGACGGUACCCAAAGAAUAAGCACCGGCUAACUUCGUG
rnacentral:rRNA from 1 species